rnacentral:tRNA from 1 species
AGUUAAUGAACUUGUUUUAAAAGUGUAUAUUUUGAAAAUAUAAAAAAGAGAAAAUUCUCUAUUAACUU